rnacentral:lncRNA from 1 species
CAGUGUUAGUUAUAGUAUGCAUGAGGAACUCAGAAUCCCAGAACACACUGCACCUUCCUUGUUAGACUGAAUGUUCUGGACAGCUCUCUUGUCCUCAUCACCAUCUACCCCUCUACAAUGGUGACAGUGUUUCCUACUUUAAUAUGUAGCAGAAGGUGUAGUGUGUAGUGUGUAUCAGAAGGUGUAGUGUGUAUCAGAAGGUGUAGUGUGUAUCAGAAGGUGUAGUGUGUAUCAGAAGGUGUAGUGUGUAGUGUGUAUCAGAUGGUGUAGUGUGUAUCAGAUGGUGUAGUGUGUAUCAGAAGGUGUAGUGUGUAUCAGAAGGUGUAGUGUGUAUCAGAAGGUGUAGUGUGUAGUGUGUAUCAGAAGGUGUAGUGUGUAUCAGAAGGUGUAGUGUGUAUCAGAUGGUUUAGUGUGUAUCAGAAGGUGUAGUGUGUAUCAGAUGGUGUAGUGUGUAUCAGAAGGUGUAGUGUGUAUCAGAUGGUGUAGUGUGUAUCAGAAGGUGUAGUGUGUAUCAGAAGGUGUAGUGUGUAUCAGAUGGUUUAGUGUGUAUCAGAAGGUGUAGUGUGUAUCAGAUGGUGUAGUGUGUAGUGUGUAUCAGCUGGUGUAGUGUGUAUCAGAAGGUGUAGUGUGUAUAGGAAGGUGUAGUGUAUAUCAGAUGGUUUAGUGUGUAGUGUGUAUCAGAAGGUGUAGUGUGUAUCAGAAGGUGUAGUGUGUAGUGUGUAUCAGAAGGUGUAGUGUGUAUCAGAAGGUGUAGUGUGUAUCAGAUGGUGUAGUGUGUAUCAGAAGGUGUAGUGUGUAUCAGAUGGUGUAGUGUGUAUCAGAAGGUGUAGUGUGUAUCAGAAGGUGUAGUGUGUAUCAGGAGGUGUAGUGUGUAUCAGAAGGUGUAGUGUGUAGUGUGUAUCAGGAGUUGUAGUGUGUAUCAGAUGGUGUAGUGUGUAUCAGAUGGUGUAGUGUGUAUCAGAAGGUGUAGUGUGUAGUGUGUAUCAGAAGGUGUAGUGUGUAUCAGAAGGUGUAGUGUGUAUCAGAUGGUGUAGUGUGUAUCAGAUGGUGUAGUGUGUAUCAGAAGGUGUAGUGUGUAUCAGAAGGUGUAGUGUGUAUCAGGAGGUGUAGUGUGUAUCAGAAGGUGUAGUGUGUAGUGUGUAUCAGAAGGUGUAGUGUGUAUCAGAAGGUGUAGUGUGUAUCAGAAGGUGUAGUGUGUAUCAGAAGGUGUAGUGUGUAGUGUGUAUCAGAAGGUGUAGUGUGUAUCAGAAGGUGUAGUGUGUAUCAGAUGGUGUAGUGUGUAUCAGAUGGUGUAGUGUGUAUCAGAAG